rnacentral:rRNA from 1 species
AUGAUUGUGUUGAACGUUUUCUAUCUUCUUGUUGCUGCCCACGUAAGGAAGCACGCACGUACGAGUACGUGUGUGAUCCAUCUGCUCCGGCCGGGACGGUCAGACAACUCAGCAUUCACAAAUAAUACUCCUCUCUUUCCAACGGGGCUGGCGAGGUUGUCAUUUUUUCUACUCCACCCAUCGAUCAUCAUCGGCUUGGCUGCCGCGCGCGCCAUAUUUAUCGACCGUCCCAAGAGAUUUCGGCACGCAACAACCGAGAGAUUCACCAGUCUAUAUCUCUUACCAGCGGAUAUUUUCGGUGCCAAUAAUGGAUCGGAGCUGCUAGCGGAUGAUUGGGUGAUUUGCAGAUUUGGUUGCUGCCAGGCACGCAAGGAACCACGUACGUGUGUGGAUUGGAUUGCAAGCCUUUGA